UCACGCCUGUGGCUUCGUGCACUGAGUCACGGAUCGACACUUCAAUCUCCGGUAGGUACAUAUCCCAGUCUCGAUGAUCCUUCUCUAAAUACGUCCUGAUUGCAGCUAAUAUUGUCCGGUUCACCCUCUCGGCGGCAUUGCUCUGUGGUGAGUAGACUGCUGUGCGCAGAUGUCGGGCGCCGAAGGUGCUCAUCAUGUCCUGGAAGAUCUUCGACAGGAACUGCUUUCCGUUGUCGGAGUGGAUCACCUCGGGCACCCCAAACUUGUAGAACACUUCCUGUACUAGGAAUUGAACUACGUUCGCAGCGGUCGCCUCUCUCAUCGCUCUGAGAAAGGUGAAUUUAGAGAAGUGAUCUACGACGACAAAAAUCCAAGCUUGUCCCCUUUUCGACCGAGGAUACUUUCCCAGGAAAUCGAUGUAUAAUUUCUGGAAUGGCCUCUCCGUUACGACUUCCUGACCGAUCCCUACCUGGCUUCGAUAAUUGGGUGCUUUGGACUCCUUACAAGCAUCGCAGUUCCGGACAAACUCCCGCACUUGUGUCGUCAUCGCUGGCCAGUAGAAUUGCCUUCUUAGCCGAUGCAAGGUCUUUUUAAGUCCACCGUGUCCAGCUGUGUGGUCUUCGUGGGCCUUGGAGAUAAGAGUUUCCGUCAGAGACGCGGGAAUCCAUAAUUUCCAAAUGGUCCCUUCCACUUGGUCGUCCAUUUGCGUGUAAGCCAUCCGCUUGAAUAUCACAUCCCCUUCCACUCGUAGGUCAGGCAACAUGUCUUGAUUCUUGCCGAUUUCUUCUUUCAGCUCCUGAUAUUCUGAAGACUCAAACUCUGUCGUCUGGAAUCCGAGGAUCUCCGUU
rnacentral:lncRNA from 1 species